UACGUAGGUGGCAAGCGUUGUCCGGAAUUAUUGGGCGUAAAGGGCGUGUAGGUGGAUUCUUAAGUCGUGUGUCUAAGUGCGGGGCUCAACCCCGUAUAGGCGCAGGAAACUGGGAAUCUUGAGUGCAGGAGAGGAAAGUGGAAUUCCCAGUGUAGCGGUGAAAUGCGUAGAUAUUGGGAGGAACACCAGUGGCGAAGGCGACUUUCUGGACUGUGUCUGACACUGAGGCGCGAAAGCUAGGGGAGCGAACGGG
rnacentral:rRNA from 2 species